GGGGCCGUAUGCUAGCCUGGUAGGCUUCCGGCAUGGGGUGCCGGCGACCCGAGUUCAAAUCUCGGCGGCCCCA
rnacentral:tRNA from 1 species